rnacentral:rRNA from 1 species
AUUGAACGCUGGCGGCAGGCCUAACACAUGCAAGUCGAGCGGAGCGGCGGACGGGUGAGUAAUGCCUAGGUAUCUGCCUGGUAGUGGGGGAUAACGUCCGGAAACGGGCGCUUAUACCGCAUCCUAUCAGAUGAGCCUAGGUCGGAUUAGCUAGGUGUUGGGGUAAAGGCCUACCAAGGCGACGAUCCGUAACUGGUCUGGGAGGAUGAUCAGUCACAAUGGGACUUAGACACGGGCCAGACUCCUACGGGAGGCAGCAGUGGGGAAUAUUGGACAAUGGGCGGAAGCCUGGUCCAGCCAUGCCGCGUGUGUGAAGAAGGUCUUCGGAUUGUAAAGCACUUUAAGUUGGGAGGCGUGACCAUCAGAAUAAGCACCGGCUAACUUCGUGCCAGCAGCCGCGGUAAUUC